rnacentral:rRNA from 1 species
UACAGAGGUCUCAAGCGUUGUUCGGAUUCAUUGGGCGUAAAGGGUGUGUAGGUGGCGCGGUAAGUCGGGGGUGAAAUUUCGGAGCUUAACUCCGAAACUGCAUUCGAUACUGCGGUGCUUGAGGACUGGAGAGGAGACUGGAAUUCAUGGUGUAGCAGUGAAAUGCGUAGAGAUCAUGAGGAAGACCAGUGGCGAAGGCGGGUCUCUGGACAGUUCCUGACACUGAGACACGAAGGCCAGGGGAGCAAACGGG